rnacentral:lncRNA from 1 species
ACUGAAGACUCUUGAGUCAGAAUCCCCAGCUUCAAAUCCUAGCAUCUCCACUCAUGUCCAUGUGACCAUGGGCAAUCUCCUCCACACCUUCAAGCGUCUGCAUGAUGUGGCAAUCAGGAAACCCAUUGUAAAAGGACCAGAAAUGGAAAAUGUUAAAGCAUGGAGUCUGCCAUUCCCUCUGCAUGGGGAUUUAAGACACAUGGAGAGAUGCUAAAUGGAAGGCACAAAGGAAUUGAGAAGUAGAGAGGAGAUAUGAGGUUUAAGACCAGAAAGACUGACUCCAGAGCCCAGGCUCUCAACCAUCAUACCAACUGGCCUCCUUUUGUUGAAGGCUGAGGACCAUAUGGCAAGCAUGAAGACAAUAUGAUUGGCACCUUGGUUCUGUUUGAAUCGUCCUCAUAUUACAAAUCUCCACUCUGAUUUACUUUGUGUAUUAUUAAACACGCACCAUAUAUUGUUUUUUGCUGG